rnacentral:rRNA from 1 species
CAGCAGCCGCGGUAAUACGUAGGGGGCAAGCGUUAUCCGGAAUUACUGGGUGUAAAGGGAGCGUAGACGGUUAAACAAGUCUAAAGUGAAAUGCCGGGGCUCAACCCCGGAGCUGCUUUGGGAACUGUAGAACUGGAGUGUCGGAGGGGUAAGCGGAAUUCCCAGUGUAGCGGUGAAAUGCGUUGAGAUCGGAAAGAACACCAACGGCGAAAGCACUCUGCUGGGCCGACACUGACACUGAGAGACGAAAGCUAGGGGAGCAAAUGGGAUUAGAUACCCGAGUAGUCCCUGUCUCUUAUAA